UACGUAGGUGGCAAGCGUUAUCCGGAUUUACUGGGUGUAAAGGGCGUGUAGGCGGUCUCGCAAGUCGGAUGUGAAAUUCCCGGGCUUAACCCGGGCGCUGCAACCGAAACUGCGGGACUUGAGUGUUGGAGAGGAUAGUGGAAUUCCUAGUGUAGCGGUAAAAUGCGUAGAUAUUAGGAGGAACACCGGUGGCGAAGGCGACUAUCUGGACAAUAACUGACGCUGAGGCGCGAAAGCGUGGGGAGCAAACAGGAUUAGAUACCCUGGUAGUCCACGCCGUAAACGAUGGAUACUAGGUGUAGGGGGUAUCGACCCCCCCUGUGCCGGAGUUAACACAAUAAGUAUCCCACCUGGGGAGUACGGCCGCAAGGCUGAA
rnacentral:rRNA from 1 species